CCUACGGGAGGCAGCAGUAAGGAAUAUUGGUCAAUGGAGGAGAACUCUGAACCAGCCAUGCCGCGUGAAAGGAUGACGGCCCUCUGGGUUGUAAACUUCUUUUGGAUGGGGCGAAAAAACGGGAUUCUAUCCUGGACUGACGGUACCAUCAGAAUAAGCACCGGCUAACUCCGUGCCAGCAGCCGCGGUAAUACGGAGGGUGCAAGCGUUAUCCGGAAUCACUGGGUUUAAAGGGUGCGUAGGCGGUUGUAUAAGUCAGGGGUGAAAGGAUGCAGCUUAACUGUAUAAUUGCCUUUGAUACUGUAUGACUUGAAUAAGGUUGAGGUUGGCGGAAUGUGACAUGUAGCGGUGAAAUGCUUAGAUAUGUCAUGGAACACCGAUUGCGAAGGCAGCUGACUGGGCCUUUAUUGACGCUGAGGCACGAAAGCGUGGGUAGCGAACAGGAUUAGAUACCCUGGUAGUCCACGCCCUAAACGAUGUAUACUCGUUGUUUGAGAGUAAUUUUGAGCGACCAAGCGAAAGCGUUAAGUAUACCACCUGGGGAGUACGCCCGCAAGGGUGAA
rnacentral:rRNA from 1 species